GCGGGAGGAAGAGGAAGAGGAGGGACAAAGGCGGAUCAAGGCUGAGCAGAUGGAACCAUGCGCUGCAGCCCUGCCUGAACUUGCAGCCCCCACCUGUGGGAUCAUCGCCCCCCCCCCGUCGUGCUGGAUUUCCCAUUGCCAACCCUUGGCAGGCUGUGAGGAAGAGGAAGAUGCCCCGGGACACUGAGGCAGAGCAGGAGCUGAGCAUGGAGAGCAGGGAGGACAAAU